AACAAUUAUUAAUGAUACAUUUUUUUUUAUCGAGAACUUUUAUGUGGAUACAAUCAUAUUCUUUGAUGUGGAUCGAAACAACUGUCAAAAUGCGUUGCAUUGCAUUGUAGCUGGAAACAAAUUAUGAGACGCGACGCGUCCGCGGACGCAUGGCCACUGCUGCGAUGUAGAAUCUACAGUGGCGUCUACAUUGUAGAUAAGAUAAUGAAUAUACUCGGAAUUGUGCAAACUAUCGGACGUAACGUAAGCCAUGGACAUGGCCUUGAGCGUUUGGUUUCAGACAUAAAACCUGGCCGCCAGAUGUUUUAAGACUGCAAGUCGCGGUCGUCAGCCACGUCCGUAUGACGCGUCCCAUAAUUUGUUUCUAGCUUAAUGCAAAUGUCAAAGAAACUAGAAACUUAGAAAGUUUUAGCAACCGUUCGGUUGACUUUUUGGGCAUUUUUAGCGUGUGCGUGUUUCUUUUGAACUUCAGUUUGCCAAUGCGCUUGAAUCAGUGGCAAAGAGUAUUAUUAGUAUAUAUCAGUGGACUGGGCUGCGGUGGUAGAACGCUCGAGGCACGAUUGUCACAGGCUCGCGCAAUCACUACUUAACAUAUUAGUUGACAAAUUUAACACAUGUUUUCAUAUACUUACGUAAACAACCACAACAGCACAGGAGGGCUGAAGCCUCAGUGCAGCACCUGUUUUGACUCCCAGUGAGAAUGAGUGACAGUCUGCCAAAGACAGUAGUUACUUGCAGUUUGCACAAAUACCCUUCACAUGAUUGCAAUAAUGCAGAUGAAUCUAAGUGUAUUGGUAACUUCACCAUCCUGUGUAGCCGAAGAAGCACCUGUAUGUCCACCAAAAACCAGAGCACAUAAUAUAUAAAAGAAAAAGUACAGAAGGCUCACAGUCAACAACCUGUCAACGGACUGCAUGUGACAUUGAGUUCUAUUGCGAAGCGAGAAGGUCAUCAAACUAUGGGCCGGGAACUCUUAGCCGCCGGAAUGUAUGAAAGAAAUGUGGAGUGAGCCACCCCGACAAGAGUUAUUUUUUUAUAAUAAUCAGAUAGAACUGUCACAAAUAGAAGAGUUAAAAUUCACUGCAAUUGAUCAACCACAGAUUUUGUAUAAAAAAAAUGCCUAUGUGAUUAAUGUUGAGUGUAUUCUGAAUAUUUUAUGGAAUACCUAUAUUUUUGUUUUAUUUGUAUAAAUGAUUGCAUCUCUUCUAAAUAUACUGACUAGAUGGCUUUCAAUAUCAUUAAAAUCAACCCUACCUUAUAGUUAUUCAAAUUUACAAAUUGGUAGCAAAAACAUUAUGCAUGCAAGUACAGUUGGGGACAGCCAGAGUUAAAUAUUAUAGGACGUUCUUCACAGAUUUCUUUUUGUUGGACGUUUUUCUUUUAAAUAAAAACUUUAUUUAAUGGUGAACGAUUUGAAAGAAUAACAAUAUGAAACCUAAAAAAAAUACCUAGAAAUAACUACUUAACCCUUAAAUGUAUGGUGAUGUAUCACACAUUUGAUGGCCUGUGGUUCAAUAUGUAGAUAUCCAAAAUCACAUUUAUAGCCAUUGAACUACUAUGUACAGCUUAAUUAUUAUUCAGUAUUUAUUGUUAUUAAAUAAAUUCAAUAAUAUUAUGAUUUACUAUUUAUUAUUUAAGGAUAAAGAUGAAAUAGCGGAAAAGUGUGAGAAAACAGGAUGGUGGCGAUUUUUAGUAUGUGAUUUAGGCAGAUUUUUUCGGAGUUAGUAAUUAGUUUAUGUUUAAACAUUAUAUCACAUGGGUUUCAGAAAUAGUAUACCUUUCUAAUAGUAGUAAAACUUUACAAAUAAAACUUGCCAAUAAUUAUAUAUUUAUAUAAAUAAGUUUUGGCCUAUUUAACUUCUAAC